AAACUAAAAUAUGAGGACACAAACCUGGCGUCCACCACCCUUGUGAGACCAGGGAUGGACAGAGAGAUUUUGGGAAUUAUGGUGUUUUAUAAAAUCACAGUUCACCUGCUGGUGUCUGGAGCAGGACUGUUGGGAGGUCUGACUGGCAGUGAUGUGAUGGUGGAGCUACCUCUGACUCUAAUGCACCCCAAACCCACAGUGUGAGUGAAGAACUCAGCAGUGAACACUGAAGUUUCCUACAAUGUACUGAAGACGUGACUCAGUGUCUCAGCUCUGUAGCUUAGUGUUGUACUGGAAGGUGAAAAUGUAGUUAGGGUACUCACCUAAUCAUCAUCGUCGUCGUCAUCAUCAUCAUCAUCAUCAUCAUCAUCGUCAUCAUCAUCUAUAACACAGUGUUAUCAUCACACACACACACACACACACACACACACACACACACACACACACACAAUCUGAAGAUUGCAACUUUCUUUUGGAAUUCAUCUUAAUGUGCUUUUGUCUAUGUUGAAUGGUGAAAGUUAAAUGUGACUGUAAUUGUGUAAUUGUGUAAUUGUGUAAUUGUGUAAUUGUGUGCAAAAACUCCACGAUACCAAAUAAAACAUAUAGAACCCAAACCAUGUGCUGUUGAGGAACUGCUGCUGUAUGAAAUCAUCUCCAUCCUGACAAAAUCUAAUCUGAGGCUUAAACAGACAUUUGUGUCUGAUGCACAAGCUCCAUCCACACACUGAGUGAACUCGCACCACAGAGCACUGACUACAGAUGUCUGACAUCUACAGACACAAAUCUGUAGAGGAUCUGAAGACACUUUAAUAAAUAAAGGUGAAGACUGACGAGUGGGAUGAGAACAUCAUCUACAACACAAGGACUAUAAUCACUGAAUAAAGUGAAGUGUGUGAGAUUAUUUCUGCUUCACACUGAACUGAACUCCUGGAUCUUUAGGGCCGUGUCUUAUAGUUUCUGGGUCUGAACGUGAGACUCUGGUGUCCUCUGAGAUGUGAGAUGUGAACUCCACCUGUGUGAGUAAACAGCUCUGGAACUGACUGAACAUCAGGAACUUUCCUAAUGCUGUAACCUUAACAUCUAAUCUUUCACCUGCAGGUCAGCUGC